CAGGAUGGACAUCACAUUGAUGAUUUCAGGUUGCAGAAUCAUGUAAAGCCAACUAAUUGUGAUGAACUCAAUGGCACUAGUUCUUAACUGUAGCCACCAGAUGAUGAGCUCGCUACUGCUCUCGCUGCUGUAGUUAAUUUACUAGGGAGUCCUCCAUUGAGCUGAACUGGUUGUGUCUCUUUUUAUAAUUUUAGAGUUAGUUAUUGAGUUGUACAGCUGCACUGUAUGUUCUUUGAUUCCUUUAGUCAGUCAGUUUUC